AGAGUUUGAUCAUGGCUCAGAUUGAACGCUGGCGGCAGGCUUAACACAUGCAAGUCGAGCGGGGAUGAGGGGCUUGCUCCUUAUCCUAGCGGCGGACGGGUGAGUAAUGCUUAGGAAUCUGCCUAUUAGUGGGGGACAACAUCUCGAAAGAGAUGCUAAUACCGCAUACGUCCUACAGGAGAAAGCAGGGGAUCUUCGGACCUUGCGCUAAUAGAUGAGCCUAAGUCGGAUUAGCUAGUUGGUGGGGUAAAGGCCUACCAAGGCGACGAUCUGUAGCGGGUCUGAGAGGAUGAUCCGCCACACUGGGACUGAGACACGGCCCAGACUCCUACGGGAGGCAGCAGUGGGGAAUAUUGGACAAUGGGGGGAACCCUGAUCCAGCCAUGCCGCGUGUGUGAAGAAGGCCUUUUGGUUGUAAAGCACUUUAAGCGAGGAGGAGGCUACUGAAGCUAAUACCUUCGGAUAGUGGACGUUACUCGCAGAAUAAG
rnacentral:rRNA from 1 species